rnacentral:pre_miRNA from 1 species
CAUUGGGGGUGGGGGUCCCUCAGCCCAGAUUGUGAGAGAGCACAGGCCAGGCCAAGGGACCCCACCAGUGCAUG